UCUCGAUAGCGUAAAAGUUAACUCUUAAUUUGUAUGGAGUUGGAACGUUUGCCUGCGUUUGCCGCUAGGGGCGCUGUUCCAACUCCAUACAAAUUUGAGUUAACUUUUACGCCGUUAA
rnacentral:pre_miRNA from 9 species